rnacentral:rRNA from 1 species
AUUGAACGCUGGCGGCAGGCUUAACACAUGCAAGUCGAGCGGGGUGAUGGUGCUUGCACUAUCACUUAGCGGCGGACGGGUGAGUACUGCUUAGGCAUCUGCCUAUUAGCGUGGGACAACCUCUCGAAAGGGAUGCUAAUACCGCAUACGUCCUACGGGAGAAAGCAGGGGAUCACUUGUGACCUUGCGCUAAUAGAUGAGCCUAAGUCGGAUUAGCUAGUUGGGGGGGUAAAGGCCUACCAAGGCGACGAUCUGUAGCGGGUCUGAGAGGAUGAGCCGCCACACUGGGACUGAGACACGGCCCAGACUCAUACGGGAGGGAGCAGUGGGGAAUAUUGGACAAUGGGGGAACCCUGAUCCAGCCAUGCCGCGUGUGUGAAGAAGGCCUUAUGGUUGUAAAGCACUUUAAGCGAGGAGGAGGCUCUUUUGGUGAAUCCCCAAGAUGAGUGGACGUUACGCGCAGAAUAAGCUCCGGCUAACUCUGUGCCAGCCGCCGCAGUAA